GUUCCUUCGAGGACAUCUGAUAAAAUUGGAACAAUACAUAGUAGAUUAGCAUGGCCCCUGCUGAUGGAUGACACACAUAAAUUGAGAAAUAGUCCAUUUUCAA